rnacentral:rRNA from 1 species
UACGGAGGGUGCAAGCGUUAUCCGGAUUCACUGGGUUUAAAGGGUGCGUAGGUGGCUUUGUAAGUCAGUGGUGAAAUCUUAGAGCUUAACUCUAAAACUGCCAUUGAUACUGCUUAGCUUGAAUCACGUCGAGGUGGAUGGAAUAUUACAUGUAGCGGUGAAAUGCUUAGAUAUGUAAUAGAACACCGAUUGCGAAGGCAGUUCACUAGGCGUGUAUUGACACUGAGGCACGAAAGCGUGGGGAUCAAACAGG